rnacentral:rRNA from 1 species
AAAUCUGGCUGUCGUGAUGCCUAAAAAGCAUUACAUAGCAAGGGCCGGGCAAGACCGGUGCCAGCCGCCGCGGUAACACCGGCGGCUCGAGUGGUAACCGUUAUUAUUGGGUCUAAAGGGUCUGUAGCCGGCCGGAUAAGUCUCUUGGGAAAUCCAGCAGCCUAACUGUUGGGCUUUCAGGAGAUACUAUUCGGCUCGAGGCCGGGAGAGGUGAGAGAUACUUCAGGGGUAGGGGUGAAAUCUUGUAAUCCUUGAAGGACCACCAGUGGCGAAGGCGUCUCACCAGAACGGACCUGACGGCAAGGGACGAAAGCUAGGGGCACGAACCGGAUUAGAUACCCGGGUAGUCCUAGCCGUAAACGAUACUCGCUAGGUGUCGGCCACGGUGCGACCGUUGUCGGUGCCGUAGGGAAGCCGUGAAGCGAGCCACCUGGGAAGUACGGCCGCAAGGCUGAAACUUAAAGGAAUUGGCGGGGGAGCACCACAACGGGUGGAGCUUGCGGUUUAAUUGGAUUCAACGCCGGAA